UACGUAGGGUGCGAGCGUUAAUCGGAAUUACUGGGCGUAAAGCGUGCGCAGGCGGUUCGCUAAGACAGGUGUGAAAUCCCCGGGCUUAACCUGGGAACUGCGCUUGUGACUGGCGGGCUAGAGUACGGCAGAGGGGGGUGGAAUUCCACGUGUAGCAGUGAAAUGCGUAGAUAUGUGGAGGAACACCGAUGGCGAAGGCAGCCCCCUGGGCCUGUACUGACGCUCAUGCACGAAAGCGGGGGGAGCAAACAGGAUUAGAUACCCUGGUAGUCCACGCCCUAAACGAUGUCAACUAGUCGUUCGGAGCGGUAACGCACUGAGUGACGCAGCUAACGCGUGAAGUUGACCGCCUGGGGAGUACGGCCGCAAGGUUAAA
rnacentral:rRNA from 1 species